UUAGUGGCGGGACGGGUGAGUAACGCGUACGGAAACUCGCCGUAUACGUGGGGAUAACACUUAGAAAUAGGUGCUAAUACCGCAUAAGCGCACAGCUUCGCAUGAAGCGGUGUGAAAAACUCUGGUGGUAUACGAUGGUUCCGCGUCUGAUUAGCUAGUUGGUGGGGUAAUGGCCUACCAAGGCAACGAUCAGUAGCCGGCCUGAGAGGGUGAACGGCCACAUUGGGACUGAGACACGGCCCAAACUCCUACGGGAGGCAGCAG
rnacentral:rRNA from 1 species